GAAAAUUCCUGCAUUGAAAAGCCCAUGAGUAGUUCGCCAUGUAUUCUGUGAUUUAUACAGAACCUGAGCACCUUUCCUGAACUGGAAUUUCAGGCUAACAUUCCUCUAUACAGCACUGCCUCAUACGUAAGGCAUGAUACGUGCUCUGCCCUUCUCACCACCACACCACACUGCUGGUACAACCCCUGCAUUCCCACAGAGCAGUCACAUCCCCACAGAAAGAUGACAGCUUUUUCCCUAUUAUUGGUGUACCAGGUGCUAUUUUGUCUCUCGCUGACAACCGUCAUUGAGAUACUGUUUCAGCAGAGGUAAUCUGAUCACCGGAGGGAGCAUGAACGUGACACAGGAAUGUCUGUGGGUAUCUGAAGCAGUGCAUCCCUUUGGAGAUUGGUGAUUUUAAUCACAAAAAUCUCCUGCUGUGUGCACCCUAAUUAUAUCAGAGGUCUCUUCACAUAUUGCGUACUCAUUGGAAGACAGCAUGCUUAAAUAUUUUCAGUCACACACCUGGAGAACACAAGGCAGUAAGAAAAUUCUGUGUUCUCACUAGGUGAAAAAGUAAGUAUUAGAAUCUCAGCUAAAACAGAAGAUCAUCUGCUCUGAAUUCAAGCUGAUCCACAGACUUGACACUGCGUGCCAACACUAAGGAAAGCUUAGAUGGUGAUACGCCAAUCCAUAAUGUCAAAACUGAGUAUGGGAGUAUGAUGAAUGUUAUGAUGAAAACUGAGUAUGUUUUACCACUGCAUGCUGCUGCACUGCUGAGUAAGCCCACUUUGUAUCUCACAGAAGCUGGGCAGAUAUAUAAUUGGAUAUCAAAGAGAGAAAGCUUUGAUAGAGACAUUUUGUAAAUUUGUAUAAGCAGAGCAUUUAUUUUAAAAAAACAAACAACUAAAAAAAAAAAAACAAAACAAAAACCAACCAACCAAAAAACCCACCUUCCCUGGGCUAAAUUCACAGCUGAGGUGGAAUUUGGGGUUAAAAGCAGUAUGAAAAAAAAAAAAAAAAAAGAAGAUACUCCUUCAGGAAUGCAGAAAACUCAGGCUCUGAGUUUGAUUGUGCUCCGCUUAUGAACCACUGUAAGAAGACAUCACAUCUGCUCCCGGUACGGAAAUUGAGCUUGGCAUCAGAUGCAUGUGUGCCUCUUUUCAACUCCAACAGUCCGGCAGCUGGGAUGAAGCACAGCAUUACAACCACUGGAAAAAUACAAACAGCGAUUUGCAGUUUCUGGCCAAUGGCUCCACCUGCUCUGCGUGGCAAAGGCCCCAUUCCUCACCUCACCCUUAAAACUGUCAGUAGGCACUUUAGUGCAUGAGGUGGAGAGUAUCACUCAGAGUAGGAGAGAGAGGUUCUGCUGGAGGACCACCCUCCCCAGGCUCAGUGCAGCACCCACACAGAACUCAUCAAAACCAAUGUGAAAAAGCUGCAAGAUACAUCCAAUGGCUGAUUUACAAAGCAGAUUUUUUCCUUCUCAACACUUUUUUCAGUAAUGUCCAUUAUCAAUAUUUGGUCCUGUCAAAAUGACUGUAUGUUGAAGAUGUGUUGUUGCUGUAAGUAGAACAUACACAUGGGCAGCCAGACAUCAAAAACACAGGCAGAAACUAAGUCAUGUGAUGCUUUUAGUGCAAUCUGUGCUGACAACUAAAAUGUGUACUUUUUUAUGGACAGAUGAAAAAGAAAAACGUGAAGUUAUUCUCUAGUACUGGUGUUAAUGUAUGGGGAGCAUUUCAGAGAGCAUGAAUCUUGCAGGGACUAGCAAAUGUUAUCUACCAGCUGAUGAGUUUCCUGCAUUAAUGGAUUGGCUGCUCUCCAGACUGAACCUCCUGUAUGAAAAUAGGCACAUUUGUGAAGAGUUUACUCAGCAAAUUCUUCCUUUUCAACAAAGAAACUAACACCUUCCCAAAUCUUUGUAGUGUUUGUGUUACAAUGGCAAAUGAAUAUACAUGUGCAGACAAUGCUAAAUCCUAAACUGGUUUCUUGGAGAAAUUCAGUUAUCAUAGACGGCGUUAUAUUUUGCUUUUCAGAUACUAAUAAUGCUUUAACUUUUGGCCUCAAGCAAAGGGGAAAGGAUGAACAGUUGUGUUGUUUAUGGAAUAUGGAAUUAACCUUAUACUCUGAAGUAAUAACUUGUGCAAGAUUUGGGGAGGAAUAGCAGGGGCAGAGGGAAGUGAGGAAAGAAAAAGGACCGAAAAACAUUCAGAGAGAUACACUGUUUGUAAACACAUUCCAGGACAUGGCCAUCCCCUGUGGAUGCAUCUGACCAGGCUAAUGAGUAAGUCCACGGUGCCUGUUAAGCAACUGUAUUUUGUUCCUGCCAGAAGUUAUUUACUUCCACCAAAGUGACUUCUCUUUGAAGUUGUUCCUUUCUUCAUAGUUACUGAAAUAAAAAAAGAGUGGGAAACAAAAGUAGGAACCUUGCCUUGCUGAGGUGGCGGUAUCACUGAAACCACAAAAGAUAAAUGCUCAGAAAUCCUGGGGGAACAGAGAGUCAGAACCUGAAGUUUUAAGAUAGAAGUUCCCUAAUCAGACCCCACAACUAAAUAUUACUGAGCUUUGCACACUUGAAAUCCUAACUUGAAUCCUCAUAACAAGUUUGAGGAUCAUUUCAAUCUAGAUGUGCAGGAAUAUAGCAGUGCUCAGCUGUGCUGUGUGUUAGGACGCUGAACAGAGUAAUUUCUUAAGUGGCAGGGAAAUUCAGUUUGUCCUAUUCAGAAAACUUCUCAAUUUUCUGGCUCAUUAGCAGCAUCUACCUUCAUUUUGCAUAACAAAUAAUGCCUGUGCAACUGCUGUUAUUAAAUUUGAAAAAUAAAAUCUAUAGAAGUGAUGUAAACUUCUCAACUAAUGGCAAACACAUUCCUUACAGGUUUUAAAACUUGAUGUUUGCUCAGUAAUGUCAUAGUGCUAAUUCUGAAGUUUUUAGUGGAAAACUGAAUAUUUUGGCAAGUAUUUCUAAGAAGCAUUACUAAACUGAAACAACUCCAACCAAACUCAGGCAGUGCAUUAAACAGAAUUUUGAUGUGCAUAAGUUGGCAUAAGAAGGAAUUAUUUUGGCUGCUCCCUAUGUCAACUGGGUGAAAUGAAAAACCCACUCCGUGCUAAAUGCAAAAAUUUUUGCCCUAGCAGGCAGCACUGACUGCCCUCCUGUCAAUGACUCUUACAGAGAUGUCCAAGUCCUCUGAGGAGAAGCAGGGGAAGGCAGCACAUCUUGAACAAAAAGAGGAGAUGCAGUUCCUCAGCACAGGACUAAUAAAUAGAGUGAAUAAAUAAUUGCUUCACUUAGAAGCAGUUUCUGAGUUUUAGCAGUUGAUAAGGAAAAUGGUCACAGUUUUCUAUCUCCAAAACUACCAU